CAAAAGUAGGAUUUACACCUGCCACAACUGCCACACUGAGUAAACGGUGUGGGGGAACAUUUCUGUGGAAUUUUGUGAAGAACUAGUGACCGAUUUCAACUAAAAUACUCCGUCAUCCUGUCGUGUGGCCCGAAGGUCAGUCAUGCAGCCCUGCAGUUCUGCUCUUUGUGUCCUGAUCUUACUGACCACUACAGUUUCUACCGUGUAUGUAUCAGCUGUUCCUUCAGUGAAGGUGAAGCUUCAUGAGUCUGCUACUCUGCCCUGCUCUGAGAGAUGUUCUGGUUUGGUCAGAUGGACUGUGUUCCAUAAAUCCACUGAUGUUCUGGCUGAGUGUGAUCAGACUUCAUGUAGAUCAGUGAAGGAGGGAUAUCAGAUGAUCCAUGAUCAGUACCUGAAGGGAGAUCUCUCUCUCAUCACCACUGACGCUGAUUUCAGUAAGAGAGUCCUCUAGACAUCUGACUGUGAUGGUAAAGAUCUCUGUGAUGUCCAGCUCCAGAUUGAGCCCUUGAGAUCUCCAAUUCAGAUUAAGCCUGGCAAGUCUCUGAUGCUGAAGCUAGAAAUAUCAGAUCCAGUGGAGGUGAUUUAUAACAGUACAGGUGCAGCAGGACCAUCCAGUGGUCACAUCUGUACAGUGAAUGGACGCUUGCUACAUUGUAAACAGGAAUAUAAACAGAAAGCAUCACUAACAUGUGCUCUUGAGUUGAGAGGAAUGAAGACAUCUGACAGUGGAGUUUAUACUAUAAAAGACAAAAGGAGUGAAGAGGUCAUUCACAUCCACACAGUGUCCGUGGGGUCAGCAGGCGGAGGUGAAAAAAAAGAUGACCAUCCAGAUCUGGACACAGAUAGAGGAGCUGCUGUUCCAGUGUGGGCUUUUUACAGUGGACACUGUAACCACAGUUGGGAAAAACAGAAACCGAAAACCGUCACACCCCGUUGUCGAAUGUCCAACCCUUCAUUAAAGAUGAACUGUUGCGUUUUGGUCAGUGUGUGUCAAAUGGUUUUGGGUGUGGACAAGAGGGGCAUGAGAGGGCAGAGGAACUCUGAACUCUGAACUCAAACUCUGAGCCCAUGAGGGGUAACACAGGCUCCCAGAACAGCUGGAGGAGAGUGCAGCAGAUCCCAGGGCAGGGAGUGUGGCUUGACGCAGACCCUGAUAUACAGAUACAAGAUGAGGAGAUGGUUCAUCUGACAAGCAGACUGGCUACUUUUCAUUUAUUAUAAAAAUUGCUGGCUGGUUCAGUGGACUUGGUGUGAAGGAAGGUGGUCAACGUUAUUCUGCGUAAAGCAAACAGCCUUGAAUUGGACACUGCUUUGUUUUUUAUCGAGGAUUAUUUAAGUUCUGGACACUGUUUAAGACUGACAGAUUGGAACCAAGCAAUUCCCUUUUCUGGCUGAUGGAGGAGCCAUUGAUCACAGGACCACACUUGGAUGUGGCUAGUGAAGGUGAACCUGGCCUCACUCAGUCUUUUGGUGCCUCCAGCCUCCUUAAACUAUGGCACUUAGUGGAUUCUGCUGGAUGGGGCUGGUGGACACCCAUGCCAUUGCUUCCAUUUAGGCCAGAUGUCCAUUCACCAUAUUAAGACUGCUGGGGGAAACAGCUGAACCUAGAAGAUUGGUCCUUACUACAGAGCUCCUGGAGUGGGAGACUUGAAAGACUUAAACCUCUUUUUUUGGUUUAUAAAGUGUGGAGAAGUUUAAUGACACGUUUUUUUAUUUUCACAGCUGGCUAUAACCAGAAAGAAAGAACAAAAUGCUUAACUUUGCUGUUGGUCAGGCUAAGCUUGCAGUUUAUAAUUCAAGAAGAAACAAAGUAGAUCUGGUCACGAUGUUUAGGCUUCAUAAAGCAAUAAACAAAAGAGAGUUGGUCUUUGCCAGUCCUUGGGGCUGACAGUGUUUAGGAGCAGUCAUGUUAUGUGGGCUGGAGGUUAGAGAACCAGCCCUGUGACUGGAAGGUUGUCGGUUCGAUCCCCUUGCCUGACAGUCCAUGACUGAAGUGCCCUUGAGCAAAUUGCUCCCUGGGUGCCCCACUGGGGCAAGCCUGCCCCCUAGUGUGCAUGUAUGUGGGUGUUUCACUGCAUGGGUCUAAUUUCAAAGUGUCCAAAAGUUGUAAAAUCUAUGUGUGAAGCACUGUAUUCUGCCCUCACUUCUUCAGCAGAUAGAUAACUUGUCCAAACACUCUUGAGGUUUAAAGGGAUUUAUUUGCUGUCACCACUCAGUGGAAGAGUGCGCCAGGAACUCAGUAAAACUACAACACAAAAUGGUUCAAAUGAACAUACACUAGUGCAAAUAGAUCCUGCACAACUCAGUUGCCUUGCCCACUAUGUUUAACAGCUAGGAGGCUUAAUAACAUGCAAUCAUUCACAUUUUCAACAUCAAAUAACUUGCUAAUAUGAAACUUUAGCAUGAUAGUAUUGUGUCUGCUUACAGACGAUGCUUGGAUGAAUGAUUGCAUACAUGGAAGGAGAUGCUCAUCAGAACAGUAAGCUGUGCAAUGCUGUGCUCACCAUGUGCUCUGCUGCCAUUGAAGAAACAGGAAAUUGCAUGACCUAGUGCCAAGUAGUACUAAGUAAUUGUGCCACCUAGUGGCAAAAGGUAAUAUCAACACAAUAAAAACACAAUAGCAACACAAGCCAGAACACUGUGUUUCUGAUUUGAAGUGACUGAAUAAAAGUCUCUGUAAAAAUCAAACCCUUUCUCUCCCUGUGCUCUUUGUACCUGUGUGUGAGAGUGACUGACCAUGUGCAUCGGUAGGAAGAGUAAAGCCCUGUCUUACAUCCAUCCAGUGUGAGGGGCCAACCCUGCAAGAUGCCAGAAGUUCAGAGAACUCCAAUUCCCAGAAGCCCGUAGGCUGAUUAGGCCAGGUCUGGUACACCUGUGGACUCCUCUACUUAAGGCUGUGGCAAACAGCAGCAAUUCGUCACACCUUCGUGAUGACCGGUAUGGUACUCAGUCCAGGUGGAUAUUUAGACACAAAGGAAAAAGAAAAGAAACCAGAAAGAAAAGGGCUGGAGAAAAAAACAAGAGACAAAUUGCCCCAAAACUACUUAAAAACCAAAAAGAAGGCCUGAACAAGAAAACGGCUCCAAGCUGUUCAAAUGUAUUUGCUCCUCUAGAGCAAACAGGUGAAACGUGAAGUCUACCUUCCUCUCAUAACCACAGAUUUGAUUUCUGAUCAUCUUUUAUUUCACUUUUUAUAUCCUGGCCUUUGUCUGAGCACUGCUUUUUUGCCUGUGCUUCUCAGUGACGCAGUGGAGACUCCUUGGCCCACCAUUCAGCACAUCAAUGGUUUGGGCCUGACUCUAAGGCACUUCAACUCCAACGUGCACAAUCACCCAAUUCACGCUCCAUAACUUUGUCAGUGUCCCUGCAGUGCUGAGAAUGAUCUCUAUAUGUCCCAUACAUAGAGGCUCUGAGGAAGAGCGUGUUAGUCUGCACCCUGGAAGCUUGGUAGUAUCAUGUGGGGAGAUAUGGGACAUGAAUAAAAGAGUGAAACAC